UCCCCGCGUGUGAGAAGCCCUAGAGCAGCAAGGGCAGACUCCACAGGUAAGCUGCCACAGACCACGCCACUGCCCGCACUUGGGCCUCAACAACACGGGAGCGCCUGCAUUCCUAUAAAGAGGCAGCAGGCAAGUCAUCUGGGCCAACGCCGGAGGCAGACCAGGAGGGCAGGGAAGGCGGAACCGAGCAGCCAGGCUCAGAAAGAGGAGAGACCCAGGCUCCACAGGGCCCCACAGCCUGACGCACAGGCCGCAAUGCGCCGUCAGAAAUUCACUUGUUUACCUCAGCACUUCUUCGGCGUUUAACCCUUGGGAGGCCGCCAGCGCACUCUAGCCCUCGACACAAGGAGAGGGGAACCGAGGCCCGCUUCGCCGCGCCUACGUCCACUCUGGGUGAUGGUGAUCAACUGGUUGAGAAUUUUUCGAAAAAAGUAGUGGAAAAUGAUGUCAGAAAUAUAUAAUACAUUCAUCUAAAUUCAAGGAUUAACUUUUUGGUAUCGUGCCUAUGUCCUGUAGAUACCAGAUGGAUAUUGAAUCAGUUUCUGCUCAGUCUGCAAGGUACCCACGUUAUUUUCAGGUCCUCAUCAGCUUACGAACGUAUGGGAGAGCUGUAGUAUGGAGUUGCCAGCUGCUGCAGGUGUCCUCUGCCGCCCGGGAACUCGGUUUGCGGCUGCAUUUCCAACUUGCGAACUGUUUGGAUUAUGAACUGUUCACAGGAACGGAACCCUACCAUAACCUGGAGACAACCUGUACACUGUGUAUUAAUUAUGUAAAUGCAGCUAUUGCUUGCUUACUGUCUACUUUUCGAUGUAUUUUGCCAGUCUGCCAUAACCAACUCAUGCCUUGAACUUUCUUAGUUUGCGCUAUUUGGAUUUAAGAUCUGAUUUCAGGUUGAACUCAAUCAUUUUAAAUUUUCAUAUAAAAUUCUAUCAUAAUGUAAUCCUUGUUUCCUAAAGGCCUCUAAUUUACCAGAUCCUCAAUUAACUCUUUCAUAUUGCACAAUAUUAGAUCUAAACUAGCCUUUCUCUGAUGAGUUCCUCAACAUACUGAUCUGGAAAACUAUCACUGCUUUCUAUUAUUCCUAAUUUGGUUUGCGCAGCGCUUAUAUGUAGUUUAAAGUCUUCCAUGACUAUUUGAAUUAUCGUUGUUAAUGCAUUGUAAUUUCUUGAUUUGUGCUAUGCCCUGCACGUCUACCAUAGUUUGGGGGCUUUUAUACAAAAUGGCUGUUCUUCCAAGUGAUAUAUCACAUCUGACCUACAUGCUUUUCCAAAAAUUGCUGCAUUUGGUUCAUUAACAUUUCUUACCCAGGGUAUUUUACCACCCAUCUACUUCUAAUGAUGAGCAGAAACCAGAUAUAUCACCUGGAAGCUGCCUGGUUUGCAUGGCACUUUUCUGUUUCGGAAGAAGGUGGAUGACUUGGCAGAGGUGCGCAGUGAUCACAGAACUAUAAAACUGAUGGAUCCAUGCAUCAAUCAAACUUGUCCCUUGCUGUGGCAUUGAACUCCCAUGAAGCUCGGCAUCCUGGUGGAAUCAACGACCCAUGAUCCCUACUUCCAGCUGUCUUAGUAGUGCCACUAUGAGUCAGCAUUUGGAGAGCAUUACUAAUGUGAAGAUUAUUAUGCUGCUGUCUUGUAAUUUCAAGUGCAUGGUGCUAUAACUGGUCAUCUUUUUGUUACAGUUAUCUAAGACUGCAAGUUCAAAAUAAUAUAUUUUUUAUAAGGAACAAACUUUAUUUCUCUAUUUACUUAUAAUCUUGUAUCGCACAUAACUACUUGGAAAAUAAAGUUUUCUCAUGAGUU